rnacentral:miRNA from 1 species
GAGGCGUGGAUCCCGCAUUGCU